AUUGAACGCUGGCGGCAGGCCUAACACAUGCAAGUCGAACGAGUGUCGGACGGGUGAGUAAUGUCUGGGAAACUGCCCGAUUUAGGGGGAUAACUACUGGAAACGGUAGCUAAUACCGCCUACCCUCGGCUUUUCCCCGAUGGGUUUAGCUUGUAGGUGGGUUAACGUCUCACCUAGGCGACGAACCCUACCUGGUCUGAGAGGAUGACGAGCCACAGGGGAACGGAGACAGGGGACAGACUCACGCGAGAGGGAGGAGGGGGGAAUUUCGCAAAGGGGGAGAAAGCGUGGGGGAGCCAUGCCGUGUGUAUGAAGAAGGCCUGGGGGUUGUAAAGCAGUUUCAGGGGGGAGGCGUUACCCGAAGAAGAAGCACCGGCUAACUCCGGGCCAGCAGCCGCGUAAUAC
rnacentral:rRNA from 1 species